GACGAACGCUGGCGGCGUGCUUAACACAUGCAAGUCGAACGAAAAGAGGGAAAGAGCUUGCUCUUUCCGGAAUUGAGUGGCAAACGGGUGAGUAACACGUAAACAACCUGCCUUCAGGAUGGGGACAACAGACGGAAACGACUGCUAAUACCGAAUAAGUUCCAAGAGCCGCAUGGCCCAUGGAAGAAAAGGUGGCCUCUACCUGUAAGCUAUCGCCUGAAGAGGGGUUUGCGUCUGAUUAGCUGGUUGGAGGGGUAACGGCUCACCAAGGCGACGAUCAGUAGCCGGUCUGAGAGGAUGAACGGCCACACUGGAACUGAGACACGGUCCAGACUCCUACGGGAGGCAGCAGUGGGGAAUCUUCCGCAAUGGGCGAAAGCCUGACGGAGCAACGCCGCGUGAGUGAUGACGGCCUUCGGGUUGUAAAACUCUGUGAUCCGGGACGAAAAGGCAGAGUGCGAAGAACAAACUGCAUUGACGGUACCGGAAAAGCAAGCCACGGCUAACUACGUG
rnacentral:rRNA from 1 species